AAAAAAUGGCUUCAAAGGUAAGUUUCAAUUUGCACAAGGGUCAGAAGUUAAAAUUGCUUCAGUUUUGGUGAAAAAGUGAUGCAAACCAUUGGUUGAGCUAAUAGGACAAAUAAACACAAUAGAUUUGACCGUGUUGAG